ACGAACGCUGGCGGCGUGCUUAACCCAUGCAAGUCGAACGGUGAAGCGCCUUCCUUUUUGGUGGGUGUGGAUGAGUGGCGAACGGGUGAGUAACACGUGAGUAACCUGCCCCCUUCUUCUGGAUAACCGCAUGAAAGUGUGGCUAAUACGGGAUAUUCUGGGUCUGUCGCAUGAUGGGUCUGGGAAAGAUAUUGUUUCGGUGGGGGAUGGGCUCGCGGCCUAUCAGCUUGUUGGUGGGGUGAUGGCCUACCAAGGCGGUGACGGGUAGCCGGCCUGAGAGGGUGGACGGUCACACUGGGACUGAGACACGGCCCAGACUCCUACGAGAGGCAGCAGUGGGGAAUAUUGCACAAUGGGCGCAAGCCUGAUGCAGCGACGCCGCGUGAGGGAUGGAGGCCUUCGGGUUGUGAACCUCUUUCGCCAGUGAAGCAGGCCUGCCUCGUUUGUGGGUGGGUUGACGGUAGCUGGAUAAGAAGCGCCGGCUAACUACGUG
rnacentral:rRNA from 1 species